rnacentral:pre_miRNA from 1 species
UUUUUAGUAUAAGUACGUCCCAUGAAAUAUUGGGGACACACUUAUACUAAAA